CCUUAUAGGUGGAGCAUACUUCCUCAAUCCACUGACCUGAAUCUUGACCAUGUGGCUUACAUUGUCCAGUGAAAUAUAAGGAGAAGUUCAGUGUGACAGUGAGGAGUGCAGACUUUCAGAUGCAAUGAGUGUUUCUUCUCGUUGUUCUGUGCUCCUGUCCUGCACCAUAAGAGCAUGUCCCAGGUCAUCAUGUUCUUUUGACCAGGCUCCUGGAAUGAGAGACGCUUGGAGCUGACCUGAACUGGACCUCUAGAAGCAGAGAUGCUGAGAACAUCUGCAGAUACAUGAUGGAUUGAGCAGUCCCUGAGUCAUAUACUCUACCAGAGAAUGAAUGAUGUCUGGUAAAUAAGAUGAUGAAUCUGACACAUAAAAGUACUGAGGGCCCAGUCAAGGCAAUAUCACUGGCUGUGAAAUGCUGAAGAGAAUCAGUUGAAAGAGAAAGAAGAAUGAAUUGGAAAAGCAAAUACUUCUGUGUUCUACUGUCAAAUGUGAUGCAUUCAAAUAAGGGAUGUUAUGACAGAAAAAACAAAUCUUCCUCAACUUGUCCACAUCAGUUCCAUUCCCUCAUUUAUAGGGAAGCUUGAGGAAUGUUUAGUGAAAUGCUGGCAAAUAGACUUCAAGAGAAAGUCUAAUUAGUAAUGUUUUUUCUUCUAAGGUCUUCUGAGGCUCAUCUAUCUCCAAAUCAACCAGGAAAAAAAAGUAGAAGAAAAUCACCAGCUGUUGGGAAAGUUAUUUAGAGGAUGUUAGCCAGAUUAAUCUUUACAUAAUAAUUAUGAAUUAGUAACGUUUCUCCUCCAUAAAAUCCACAUAUUUAGUGAGCUUCAGAGAACAUAGAAGAGGCAAGAGAAAAUGACAGUGAAGUGAUGUAUUAGCCAUGGCUCUCUAGAGGGACAAGACUAAUAAGAUAGACAUAUAUAUGAAAGGGAGUUUAUUAAGGAGUAUUGACUGACACAGUCACAAGGUGAAGUCCCACAAUAGGCCGUCUGCCAUCUGAGGACCAAGGAAGCCAGCCCAAGUCCCCAAACCUCAAAAGUAGGAAAACCAACAGUGCAGCCUUCAGCCUGUGGCCAAAGGCCCGGGAGACCCUGGUAAACCACUGUAUAGGUCCAAGAGUCCAAAAGCUGAAGAACCUGGAGUCCGAUAUUCAAGGGCAGGAAGCAUCCAGCAUGGGAGAAAGAUGAAGGCCGGAAGACUCAGCCAGUCUAGUCCUUCCACGUUCUGUCUGCUUUAUUCUAGCUAUUCUGGCAGCUGAUUAGAGAUCGUGCCCACCCAGUUUGAGGGUGGGUCUGCCUCUCCCAGUCCACUGACUCAAAUGUUAAUCUCCUUUGGCAACACCCUCAAAGACACACCCAGGGACAAUACUUUGCAUUCUUCAAUCCAAUUAAGUUGACAGUAUUAACCAUCACAAGUGCUUCAUCAUGUUAUAAUAAAACAGAAUUAUGGCUUCAAGGACCCGCAGUCUUUAAAACUACCCACACAAAAGAUAAAAGGGAACUAAAAUUAUAAUUUCCCAAGGAUUAACAGUAUAAGCUUCAUUCUAAGUGAAUUAAAUAAUUUGUCAAUUUCCUCUUCAUACUGAAAGUAACCAUACUAGGAUAUAACAUGUGUUGGAAAAGUGAUUACAAAUGACUCAAAUCAGUGCCCUAAAAUUUCAAACAAAUUCCCACUAUUGAUACAUAAGGAAUCCACAUUGGGAUUAGCAGUAUUAUUCACUUAUGCAAAAAUAUCUUUUGACAUGAGGUGAAAACAUAACCUCUGAACACAGUCAUUCUUUUAGGUUUUCAGUGGGAAUUGUGCCUAAGUGAUUAGGAAAGGAUAUGGUCCAAUAAAUAAACUGAAAAUUUUGUAACAAGUGGUAGAGUAAUACAUAUUAAUUCUGAACAGAUUGACACUGUAAUUUGGGAUAAAAACCAUAAUGAUUACAGAACACAGUCAGUGUAAGUCUGAUGGACUAGAACAGAUGUGUCCACCUGUUUAGGGUCCAGCUCUGCUUCACUUGGGCUGCAUAACACUAGCUAUUUGGAAAGGCAUACAGGUUAGGAAACAGAAAAUAUAUUGGAUUCUGGAUCAAUUUUUGUUCUUCUAUGUAACAAUUAACGUCAAAAAGACAGAGCACACCAAAGGCUAAAAUAAAAGAAAGUCUAGAGGAGAUGUAAACAUUAUUACAUGCCUUUCAUUGGAGAUAAUUUGGAAACCUUCAUAAAGAGAUUUUCAAGGUCAGGAGUGUGUAAUAGAUUCAAACUGUUUUUGUUUUUCUAACAUCAACAAAUCUUGUAUAAAUUAACUCAAUCGGAGUUUUUUUAAAAUGCUAAACUGAAGAAAGAUGGAAAGAGACUCCAAUAUUAUAAUGUUCAUGCCUAGGGGCACUCCAUAUAUCCAAUACCAAGUAAGACUAGGCUUUUGUGAAUAUUUAUCACUUGAAAUCAUGGGGAAAAUACUUUUUUCUUGACAGAAUAUGCCCCAGGUUUAAAGAUUAUACUGUACAUCAUUAAGGGGUAAUUUUAUUUUUUCUUAAGGUAGAAGGAGAUAUCAGUACUAUAAUAAUAAAUCUGCCUCUUUGUUAUAAGAAAAGUUUAAUGUGUGGUCAUAAACAUUGUUUGUUUUAAAGACAGAUUGUUAUAGAUGUAUUAUUAAAAAUAUCCAUCCUGUCUGUACUCUUUAUACUUUCUUACUUAAAUUUAUUAACAAAAUUGGGUAUAUGUGUGCCAUUCUUUCUCUGUUGUCUCUGCCAUCCUCUGGAUAUUUAGCCAAUCCUUAACCUAAAAAGCCUUUGUCAUUAUAAGGGUAAAACAUCAUUUUGUUAUAUCUUAAUAUAGAGAAACCAGUCUUCUAGCUCAUUUAUAAUCUUCAAAUGUGUUUGUUGGAGAUGUUUUGUAUUCGUUAAUUUAUUUGAUUUUUUGUAUAAUAAUUUCCCUCCAAAUAAGGUUUUCAAAUUUCAUAAUGAGAAGAACACAGGUUAGUUUAGAGUACUGUAGAUAUAUUCUUGUCAAAGAUAUCAACUGGGUAAAAUGCUAUCGGAAACAUCCAAGAAGUUUAAAAAGUUUUGUUGGCCAGGUGUGGUGGCUCAUGCCUGUAAUUCCAGCACUUUGGGAGGCCGAGGUGGGCAGAUAAUUUGAAGUCAGAAGUGUCAGACCAGCCUGGCCAACAUGGCGAAACCCCUUCUCUACUAAAAAUACAAACAUUAGCUGGGUGCAGUGGCAGGUGCCUGUAAUCCCAGCUACUUGGUAAGCUGAGGCAGGAGAAUUGCUUGAACCUGGGAGGCAGAGGUUGCAGUGAGCUGAGAUCACGCCACUGCACUCCGGCCUGGGUGACAAGAGUGAAACUCUGUCUCAAAAUAAAUAAACAAACAAACAAAUAAAAUAAAUAGAUAAAUAAAUAAAUAAAUAAAUAAAAUUUUGUCUUCCUUGCUUGCCAUUUCUUAUAAUCAGAAAAACUAGAGAAACAUCUUUCAACAUAGUCUAUAUGCAGUACCAGAUUUGACAGAAUUUGUAUUAUCCAAAAACUCUAGUGGGUAAAUGGCAUUAUAGUUUAUAAUGAGAAUAUUUUGUCAUACUCUUUGCACUCAAGGAAGUGUAAAAAUUUAACAGAUAUACAAAAAGGAAGAGAAAACUAAUAUAAAUAGAUGAGAGAUCUGCAAGUGUCCCAUCCAUUUAGAGGGCCAAAACAGUGAUUGAUUUCAGGGCAAUUAUGUAUUUGCUAUAAAUUCCUGUUUUGAGGUCAAAAAAUUAAAAGUGUUCAGAAAAAUUGAUGUAGUUUAUGCAAUUCUGGACAUAGUACAUUUUAUCUUAUCAGUGUUAUUUUAUAAUAUUCAGAGUAGAUAUAUUAAAAAUAAUAAAAUCAUGACCUAAUGACUACAUUACUGUGUAAUUACAGAUGCAACAUAUUAUAGUGGAUGACUAAAGACUUUUUAGAUUCUGUAGUUGUUUAAAUUCAGUAGUUUCAAAUUCUGACUGUGUAUCAGCUGGGAAACUUUUAAACAAUACUGAUGUCUUGGUGCCUAGCUCCCGUAUCCCCACCCUCCCACUCAUGGAUUGUCAUACAAUUGACCUGAGGUGGGGCCCAGGCAUUAAUUUUUUUUUUGAACUUUUAUUUUAAGUUCAUGGGUACAUGUACAGUUUCUUUACCUAGUUAAGCUUAUGUCAUGUGCAUCCAACAAAGGUCUAAUAUCCAGCAUCUGUAAGGAACUUAAACACAUUUUCAAGAAAAAACAAACAGCCCCAUAAAAAAGUGGGCAAAGACUUGAACAGGCAUUGAUUUUCUUUCUUUUUUUUUUUUAUUAUACUUUAAGUUCUAGGGUACAUGUGCACAACGUGCAGGUUUGUUACAUAGGUAUACAUGCGCCAUGUUGGUUUGCUGCACCCAUCAACUCGUCAUUUACAUUAGGUAUUUCUCCUAAUGCUAUCCCUCCCCUAGCCCCCCACCCCACGACAGGCCCCCGGUGUGUGAUGUUUGCUGCCCUGUGUCCAAGUGUUCUCAUUCUUCAGUUCCCACCUAUGAGUGAUAACAUGCAGUGUUUGGUUUUCUGUCCUUGUGAUAGUUUGCUGAGAAUGAUGGUUUUCAGCUUCAUCCAUGUCCCUGUAAAGGACAUGGACUCAUCCUUUUUUAUGGCUGCAUAGUAUUCCAUGGUGUAUAUGUGAAAUAUUUUCUUUAUCCAGUUUAUCAUUGAUGGGCAUUUGGGUUGGUUCCAAGUCUUUGCUAUUGUGAAUAGUGCCACAAUAAAUAUACGUGUGCAUGUGUCUUUAUAGUAGCAAGAUUUAUAAUCCUUUGGGUAUAUACCCAGUAAUGGGAUGGCUGGGUCAAAUGGUAUUUCUAGUUCUAGAUCCUUGAGGAAUCGCCACACUGUGGUUGAACUAAUUUACACUCCCAUCAACAGUGUAAAAGUGUUCCUAUUUCUCCACAUCCUCUCCAGCACCUGUUGUUUCCUGACUUUUUAAUGAUCACCAUUCUAACUGGUGUGAGAUGGUAUCUCACUGUGGUUUUGAUUUGCAUUUCUCUGAUGGCCAGUGAUGAUGAGCAUUUUUUCAUGUGUCUGUGGGCUGCAUAAAUGUCUUCUUUUGAGAAAUGUCUGUUCAUAUCCUUUGCCCACUUUUUGAUGGGGUUGUUUGCCUUUUUUGUAAAUUUGUUUAAGUUCUUUGUAGAUUCUGGAUAUUAGCCCUUUGUCAGAUGGGUAGACUGCAAAAAUUUUCUCCCAUUCUGUAGGUGAACAGGCAUUGAUUUUCUAAGAGCUCUUUUGGUCAUUACAUUGUGAAGCCAGGGUUGAGAAAUAAUUAUCUUCAUUUUUCUGUUCCUAAAUUGGGUUAACUGGAGCCAUUUCUCCUUAUAUCGAUGAGAUCUUAUGAGAAACAGUUAAUAAAAUAUCUUCACAUACAUUUGUGUAACAUUUUAUGGUUGUCAAAAAGAGUUUCAAAUCUAUUGGAGGUACACUAGGUAAUUAAAGACUACAACAGAGGUAAAUACGUUUUUUGGAAAGAUCACUUGUCUAAAUCUUGGUGGUGUCAGUGAAUACUUCCUGGGGAAAGAGACUACAAAUCUUUGGCAUGAAAUGCAAAUUGGGGUUCAAGGUUAAUCUGUGCAGAAACGCAUGUCAGUAUUCCAUUCCUUUUUAUGGUCAAAUAAUAUUCCAUGGUAUGAAUAAUCCACAAGAAUUUAGUCACAGAAAACCACAUAUUAUAUGAUUCCACUUAUAUGAAAUAUCUGGAAGAGACAAAUCUAUAGAGACAGAAAGUUGAUUAACAGUUGCAUAGAACUGGGCUGUAAGGGGUAUGGGGAGAUUGGUAAGUAACAGCUAAUGAGUACAGAGUUUCACUUUGUAGUGAUUACGAAGUUCUAAAAGUGAUGGUUGAACUUAUCUGUAAAUAUACUAAAAACCAUUGAAUUAUGCAGUUUAAAUGGGCAAAUUAUACAUCCUGUGAAAUAUAUCUCAAUAAAGUUGUUCUGAAAAACAAGUAGGCUUGCAAGACCAGAUGAGUGAGAGCACUGUAUCUGGAGGGAGAAAUCUCAGAAAGCAAGGAGAGUUUAGAAACUGGUAAGUAGCUCCAGAUGGCUGGCACAUAGGGUUAGAGAAGGGUCCCAGAGGUGGUUAGAAGUGAAGCUAAAUAAAACAAAUGGGUCUGAUCAUGAAAGAUAUGUUUAGCCUUUAAAUUUUUAAAAGUUGUGGUAAAAUAUAUACAACAUUUAUCGUCUUAACCAUUUUUAGUGGGUAGUUCAGUAGUGUUAAAUAUAUUCACAUUAUCGUGCAAUCCAAUAUCUGGAACUGUUUUAUCUCACAAUACUGAAACUCUAUGUCUGUUAAAUAACAAUUCCCCAUCUCCUCCUGCCCUAGCCCCAGGGAAGUAUGGUGACUAUAUAUCAUCAAAUAAAAAAUGUCAACAAAGAGACAGAAAUUGUUAGAAAGAACCAAGUGAAAGUUUUGAAAUUGAAAAGUGAAAUAAGAGUGAUUAGAAAAUCACUAGAUGACCUCAAUAGUAGGUUUUAGCAUUAAAGAAAUAAUUAGUGAAUUUGAGGAUAAAUGAUUAGAAAUGAGGCCAUGUGAGUAGGAGAGAGAAAAAACAAUGAAAACUUGUUCACAGAGACACAAUCAUUCUACCAUAAAGACAUAUGCACACGUAUGUUCAUGACAGCACUAUUCACCAUAGAAAAGACAGAGAAUCAACCUAAAUGCCCAUCAGUGGUAGAUUGGAUAAAGAAAAGGUAGUACAUAUACAGCAUGGUAUAAUAUGCAGCCAAAGAAAUGAAUGAGAUCAUGUCCUUUGCAGCAACAUGAAGGAGCUAGAGGUCAUUAUUCCAAGUGAACUAACAUAGGAACAGUAAACCAAAUGCUGCAUGUUCUCACUUGUAAUUGCAAGCUAAACACUGAGUACAUAUGGACACAAAGAAGGGAACAACAGACAGUGGGGCCUUCUUGAGGGUGGAUGCUGGGAGAAAGGUGAGGAUCGAAAAACUACCUAUCAAUCAGGUUACUAUGCUCAUCACUUGGGUAAUGAUCUGUACAGCAAACCCUUGUGAUGCACAAUUGACCUGUAUAACAAACCUGCACAUGUACUCCUGAACCUAAAAUAGAAGUUAAAAAAUAAAGAAGAAAUUUGCAAAAAACCCACCAGAGACUCAGAGAAAUGUGGGAUGGACCAUUAAGUCCAUCCAUAUAUGCGUAAUGAGAGUACCAAAAGAGAGAGCAUGAAAGGGACAGAAGAAAACAUUCUAUGAAAAAAAUGGCUAAAAACUUCCUGAAUGUGAGGAAAACUAGUAAUUUACAUAUCCAAGAAGCUAAAUAACUCCAAGCAGAAUAAAUGCAAAAAACAAAAUCAUAACUAUAUACACUGCAGCCAAAAUAUUAAAAGUCAAAAAGAAAGAGAAUAUCUUUAAAGCUCUAAGAGAAAAACAACUCAUCAUGUACAGGAAAAUCACAAUAAGAUUAAUAGUAAAUUCUUCUGAAAAUAAUAGAGGCCAGAGGCAAUGAGAUGACAAAGUGAUGAAGUUAAAACAAAAUAAAA
rnacentral:lncRNA from 10 species